rfam:Rattus norvegicus chromosome 10, whole genome shotgun sequence.
GGGGAUUUAGCUCAGUGGUAGAGUGCUUGCCUAGCAAGCACAAGGUCCUGGGUUCAGUCCCCAGCUCCG